rnacentral:lncRNA from 1 species
AUAUCUCCCAGUGUGCCCCAAAUCUUCCCAGUUCAAUUAUUGUUUUAAUAACAAACAAAACUCAAAGCAAAUAUUUACCUCUGUGUGGAGGUUUGAAUAGGAAUGGGCCCCAUAGAUUCAUGUGUUUGAAUGCUUGGCCCAUGAGGAGUAGCAUUAUUAGGAAGUGUAGCCUUGUUGGAGGAAGUGUUUUACGGUGGGGGUGGGCUUUGAUAUCUCCUAUGUUUAGGCUUUUCCCAGUUCAGAGGAGAUUGUCUGGCUGCCUUUGGAUCCUCCAGCACCAAAUCUGCCUGCACAAUGCCAUGCUUCCCAUCAUGAUGAAACCUUGGGUGUUUCAGAGUGGCCCUCCUGGUAUCUCUUGUUAUCUCUGCCCUGAGGUGUAGUGUAUCCUUGAAGGCAAAGUCUUCUUUUUAAUGAUGUGUGUUGAUUUUGUGAGGUUAUAUAGAUUAUUUCAUGGAAACAGUGUCAUCUAAAAAUUUAUAUUUCUAAAUUACACCAGGGUAUACCUUUUUUUUUUUUUUUUGGACAACUAGAUUAUUUGUCACCUACUCAGCUACUCAGUAGAUACUUCAUUUAGCUUUGUUGACAGGAAUUUAGUAAAAUUCAGUUUUACAGAAAAAGUACUAAGUCUUAAAAGCUGUUUUCCUGUGUUAUGACAGUUGGAUAGUUUUCAGUAGAGCAGUACUGAAAGCAAUCCAUUUUUUUAGUGCCUAAAAAGCAUAAACACACCCUCGAUCUGUGCUGCUUUGCUGAUUAGCUGCCUCCUCCCACAUCGUUGAUAAGAGAGAUUUGUACAACUCCUGUGUGCCAGGCCCUGGUCAAAGCUGAUGGUCUCUCCUCUCCCUCACAGACUGCCUCUAAGGUAAGUACCAUAUUUCCUAUGGAAACAGGAAAACUGAAAAGUGAGAUGCCUUUCUCUGUUCUCUCUUACUUCUCACUGAGGGCAUUGUGUGCUUUGGUCCUUGACUCACACACCAGGGAAGACAACCAUGGAAACUUGGAUCUCAUGGUACAGGUUCUGUGGGCAGACAUCUCUGAUAUUGAUUCCUCAUACUUUUAGGGACUAAAUAAGCAUCACUAAAUCUUAGGACCUUCAUUUCUGAAGGUCAAUAACUCUAUGAGAAUUCAGUAAUGAAUGAAACACCAUGUUAUAUAUAUUUACCCCAUGUGAUAAAAUUUAUGUUAAAUAUUUUACCAGGAAAAAGUGUCUAUAACUGACACAAGUGUUCUGACGAUUUCACCUGUUGCCAUUUGUUUCCACUUUUGCUCUUAAAUUAGUUGAGUCUGCACAAGUGAGAUCAUGUAGAGAAUGGAAAAGAGAAUGAGUCACUACUGGAGAAUAAUUGCAGUGGGUCAAGCGCUUACCUGGAUUUCUCAGGAACCAGGGAUAAUGAAACAGCUGCCCAUCUUCCUGGCUUUGGAAAAAUCAUGUGGCUGGACCAAGAAAUCCAAUCAAUUUUUUGUAACUUUUAAUUGUACAGAACCAACAUCAACCUGUUCUUGUGGACUUCAGGCUUAGGGCCCUUUCUAUUUCCAGCUAGUUAUCUAGACAUGUUUUAUUGCGAAUAUGGGUUAGGGAAAAAUGCUCUUCCUGCCACUACAUAGAUAAAGGGUACUUAGGAUCUGGCUGAAAGCAACGUGAGAGUUGAACCAGCAAAACUGAUAGGAUUCCAAAUAUUUGGCAAAAGGAUUUAGGAUUCUAGAAAAGUAUUAUGAUUCAGAGAGGACUUUAAAUCCCAGGGCUGAGCAAUACUGGAGAUGUUGCUCAGUUGAUAGAAUGCUUGCCUAGUAUGCACACAGCAUUGGGCUUGAUCCUAGCACCACUUAAAGGAGCAUAGUGGUCUAUGCUUGCAAUACUAUCAUUUGGAAAGUGAAGGUGGGAGAAUCAGAAGCUCAGGAAUCCUCAGCCCUCAGCUACACAGCACAUUGAAGGCUAGCCCAUUCUAUAUGAGACACUGUCACAAUCAAACAUAC